rnacentral:pre_miRNA from 2 species
GGAAACUUGAAAACUAUCGUUGGAUCGAGAAAUGGAUGUUCGAGAUUCGUCCACGUCACCAUGAGUUAAAUUUUAACUCCCAGUGAAAUUUUAACUCAUGAGUGAAUCUGCGAGUUAAAUUUUAACUCAUGGUGACGUGGACGAAACUCUGACGUCGUUUCUCGAUCCAACGGUAGUUUCUAAGUUUCC